rnacentral:rRNA from 1 species
UACGUAGGGGGCAAGCGUUGUCCGGAAUUAUUGGGCGUAAAGCGCGUGUAGGCGGCUCGGUAAGUCUGCUGUGAAAGUCCAGGGCUCAACCCUGGAAUGCCGGUGGAUACUGUCGAGCUCGAGUCCGGAAGAGGCGAGUGGAAUUCCUGGUGUAGCGGUGAAAUGCGCAGAGAUCGGGAGGAACACCCGUAGCGAAGGCGGCACUCUGGGCCGGUACUGACGCUGAGGAGCGAAAGCGUGGGGAGCAAACAGG